rnacentral:lncRNA from 1 species
ACAUAUACCAUACACGCAUAACAUGCCAUAACAUAUCCGAUCACAGAACAGCCAUGCACUUCGGGUCUACUGUGUGACUGGUCCGCCGCACCGGCCAACAGUCCACCUGGUCCACCCUCCGAGUCUAUCCAUAUACCUCGAGUCUGCAGUGUGAUUGAUCCGCCCGCACCGGGCCUUCAAUCCACCUGGUCCACUCUCCGAAUCUAGCCACAUACAUCGAGUCUGCAGUGUGAUUGGUCCGCCCGCACCGGGCCUUCAAUCCACCUGGUCCACUCUCUGAGUCUACAGUAUGACUGGUCCGCCCGCACCGGGCCUUCAGUCGGCCUGGUCCACUCUCCGAGCCUCGGCACGUCUGGUCCGCCCUCUUGGGGCCUACAGCCUAUCCGGACCGCUCGCUGGGCCUUCGGGACAAUCGGUCCGCCCUGGGUAUCUUGGCCUACAGCACAAAGCAGGACCCGCCUCAACCCAACUCCAGUCCAAACAACCAUGUGCACAUAAACAUACAAUCAUAUAACAAUUCACAGUCAACAAACCGAUCAAACAGAUCACAUAGCAUAUCAUCAUCCUAACCAGGAUUCCGACCUAACCGGCCUCUAGCAUAGCAUCACCCUAUAUCUCAGGAUACCGACCUCAACCAGGUCUCUAACAUAUACUACCCUAGCUACCAAGAUGCAACAUAUCAAAGGAAUAUCAUAACAACAAAUACCCGGAUCUCAAUCCAAUAAAGGGUUGGCCUUGGUGCCUUAGACCCUGUAGAUAUAGUGAGGAUAACUCACCUCGAAACUGCCGACUGAACAGAUAACCCAAGCUGCUCCUGAUCACUGAUACGAUCUCCACCACUAGACGACCACCAAAACACUAAACUCAAAACAAUAUCCAACAAUUACCAAAAUGCCCCUGGAAGUCAACUGGUCAACCCUUGGUCAAAGUCAAAGUCAACCCCUGACUGACUCUACUCGCCGAGUCAACCCGAUGACUCGCCGAGUCCCCAUGC